GACGAACGCUGGCGGCGUGCUUAACACAUGCAAGUCGAACGGAAAGGCCCUGCUUGCAGGGUACUCAAGUGGCGAACGGGUGAGUAACACGUGGGUGAUCUGCCCUGCACUUCGGGAUAAGCCUGGGAAACUGGGUCUAAUACCGGAUAGGAGCCAUUUUUAGUGUGAUGGUUGGAAAGUUUUUUCGGUGUAGGAUGAGCUCGCGGCCUAUCAGCUUGUUGGUGGGGUAAUGGCCUACCAAGGCGGCGACGGGUAGCCGGCCUGAGAGGGUGGACGGCCACAUUGGGACUGAGAUACGGCCCAGACUCCUACGGGAGGCAGCAGUGGGGAAUAUUGCACAAUGGGCGCAAGCCUGAUGCAGCGACGCCGCGUGGGGGAUGACGGCCUUCGGGUUGUAAACUCCUUUCGCUAGGGACGAAGCUUUUUGUGACGGUACCUAGAUAAGAAGCACCGGCUAACUACGUG
rnacentral:rRNA from 1 species